GUUCGUGGAGUAAUCUGUCUGGUUAAUUCCGUUAACGAACGAGACCUCAGCUUACUAAUUGAUGUAUGUAUUGUAUAUAUGCUAUCACUUAGAAGGACUGUGUCUUCUCAGGACAAGGAAGCUUGAGGCAAUAACAGGU
rnacentral:rRNA from 1 species